CCGUUCCUACGGGGCGCAGCAGUAGGGAAUCUUCCACAAUGGACGAAAGUCUGAUGGAGCAACGCCGCGUGAGUGAAGAAGGGUUUCGGCUCGUAAAGCUCUGUUGGUAGUGAAGAAAGAUAGAGGUAGUAACUGGCCUUUAUUUGACGGUAAUUACUUAGAAAGUCACGGCUAACUACGUGCCAGCAGCCGCGGUAAUACGUAGGUGGCAAGCGUUGUCCGGAUUUAUUGGGCGUAAAGCGAGUGCAGGCGGUUUAAUAAGUCUGAUGUGAAAGACUUCGGCUCAACCGGAGAAUUG
rnacentral:rRNA from 1 species